rnacentral:rRNA from 1 species
CUACGGGAGGCACCAGGCGCGAAACCUUUACAAUGCACGCAAGUGUGAUAAGGGGAUCCUAAGUGCUCAUGCAAAGCAUGGGCUUUUGCCAAUCGUAAAUAGUUUGGCGAAUAAGUGGUGGGUAAGACUGGUGCCAGCCGCCGCGGUAACACCAGCGCCACGAGUGGCAACCACGUUUAUUGGGCCUAAAGCGUCCGUAGCCGGUUAGAUAAAUCUCUUGUGAAAUCGUCAGGCUUAACUUGAUGGCGUGCUUGAGAGACUGUCUAACUUGAGACCGGGAGGAGUCAAAAGUAUUCCUGAGGGAGCGGUAAAAUGUGAUAAUCUCAGGAGGACUAUCUAUGGCGAAGGCAUUUGACCAGAACGGAUCUGACGGUGAGGGACGAAGGCCAGGGGAGCGAUCCGGAUUAGAUACCCUAGUAGUC